AUAAAAAAAUAUCAUCAAAUUCGGAAAAAAAAUUACAAAAGACAAAAAAAUAUUUUACUUAAAAAAUAUCUAUUUUUUUUUUUGCUUUAGUGGAUUUCCCUCCCAAAAUUUAAGCUAAAUUUUUAUAUUUUUAAAUUUGUCACACCAAGAUAAGAUGAAAAGUUUAAAAUUUUGAUGAAACAGUCAAAAAAAAUUAAUUCAAGAUGAAAAAAACUCAAAACUCAAAAUAGUUAAAGUUAUUUUAAAAAACAGAAAGCCCAAAUUGGGUCUCAAUACAAAUCCUUUUACCUUUUCGUUCGCGAAUUUUGGCGACGAAGAUCCCAAGCUUAGUUUUUUUUAUAGAUUUUUUAGCUGUAAAUUUUGAGUUUUUUUCCGUCUUCAGUGAAUUUAAUUUUUAUAUUUUUCAGUUCUUAUUGAUGGAAGGAGUUUAAAAAUAUAAAAAAUAACUAAUUUCAAAAAAAGUUCACUAAAGAUAAAAAAAAUUAUUUUUAAUCGACAAAUUAGCUAUGGUGGAUUUUAUUUUUUCAAAAUUGAAUAAAAGUUUGUUUUUGGUGAAAUUUGUUCCAAAUUAGAAUAAGUUUUUUAUAUUUUCAAAUUCCCCUAGUUAAGAGGAAUCAAAAAAGUAUAUAUCUUAGAUCAAAUGGUAAAAACAAGUUCACUACAAAUUCGAAAGCUCAAAAACCAGAACACCUCAAUACAAGUCAUUCGGCCUAUUUUUAGUUUGUGAAUUUUGGCGACAAAUGAUUCUUGGCUGUGAAUAAAAAUUACAUUGAUCGUAUACAUAUCAAUAGUCGUUUAUAUCAAAGUAAAUAUGUGUAAUCAUAUGUGUCAUAUUCAUUUAUUAAAUUAUAAAACAAUAUUGAAUAUAUAUUGAUUUAUAUACGAUCAACAUGACUUUUUACAAUAUUGAUUUUUACGACUAAAUUUACAAUAUGAACGAUUUGAAUCACCAAAAUGAACUAAAAAUAUAGCCUCAAAUGCUUGAACUGUAGUAUGCAUUUCAAAAUUUUAAAGUAAACACAGGUUGUGUCCAAAAUACAAUCACAAAAGACAAAAAAAAAAAAAUCAAAAAACAAAGGCGGUAAAAGACCUCAAAAGAAAGAUAAACCAAACUGGAUCUCAAUACAUGUAAUUCUAAAAAUAAAAGACCUCAAAAGAAAGAUAAACCAAACUGGAUCUCAAUACAUGUAAUUCUAUGUAUUUUUAGUUUAUAUAUUUUGACGACAUAUUAAUGGUAUGCAUGAGUCAGUUCGGGUCGGUUCUAUAACAGAUCCAGAACUGAUCCGAUCUUAAUUGGUUUUCUAUUUUUGGACUCAGAAUCGAACGUCCAAAAGAAACAAAACUCUAAGGUUACUUUUACUUGGUUGGCCCAUGCAAUCCCUAGAAGUAUGGUAACGUCACCAUUUAAUGGCAACAUUUGGAUAGGUGAAAACCAAUGGUUGGUCUGCAAAUUGUUUGGCUAAAAAGAUGGAAUGUCCGUGCGGAAGGAGGUUCCGAUUGUUCGUAACUAUUCACAAUAAUUUAUCAUACAUUAUAGGGGUGCACAAAAUAUCUGCAAGAACCGAUAAUCAAACCGACCCGACCUCAUCGGAUCGGUUUAGUUCGGUUCUACCAUGUCAUGGUUCGGUUCUGAAUCUGAAAAUUGUAGACCCGUCCUAGUUCGGUUCAGUUCUCAGGUCUAUAAGAUUUUUUUACCUACAAUCGAACCGAAUAGGAAUCGAAGUAUAGACCUGAUCAUAUAGUAAUACAAUGCACUCAUGAGACACUAUUAUUGCUAAUGGUGACUUAUUUUGAGAAAGAACUGAAGAACCGAUCGUCCAAAGGAACCGAACCGAACUAACCUGAAUGAGAUCGGUUCGGUUCUCGAUUCUUUCGGAUAUUUUGUGCACUCCUAUUACAUAUGAUAAAUUAUCGUGAAUAGUUACGAAUCAAUCGUAACUCUCCUUGCACGGACCUUUCCAUCUUUUAGCCAAACAAAUUGCAGACCAACCAUUUGGUCUUCAACCUAUCCAAAUCGUUGCAAUAAAUGUGUGAUUAUUACGAUACUUCUAGGGAUUGCAUGGGCCAACCAAGUAAAAGUAACCUUAGAGUUUUGUUCUUGUUUUGAUUAUGUGCAAGAAUCUAAAAUGGACUUGGCCACCCUACAUGUAACCAUCGAGGUCCACGAAUGAGACAAUUCGAGACAACCAAACAAAACCUGACGUAACCCGCAAGUUUUCAUACAUCCUUUUAGUUUUGGCUUUCGCAGUUGUGUUUGUUGGUUUGUUUUUGGCUAGAGAUAUGUGAGGUGAUAACUUUUUAAAAAGGAGAUAAAUUUUAGAGGGGAUAACUUUUAACUUUGUUUGGAUACUUUUUUAGAAUGGGUCGAUAAGGUGAGAAGAUAAGGAUCAUAAAAUAUAUAUAGUAGAAAUAAAAUAUAAAAUAUUUAGAUAUUAAAAAUAUAAUUUUAUUUCUCUCUCUCUAUAUAUAUACAAAUUAAUACAGUUUUUGUUUUUCUUUA
rnacentral:lncRNA from 1 species